rnacentral:lncRNA from 1 species
UAAUUUUUUAUCCAAAAUUUAUAAAUGAUAUUAAAGAAAAUGAGAUUGUUUGCAACCUAUUGAAAUGAAACAGCUCAUUCGUAAACGAGUGCACUGAUCCCAUUACGAGGACGUUCCACCUAAUCCAAGCUCGGCCAGCCCAGUCCGUUAAUAGCGUCCUAAUCGAGUUCCACUGGUACGAGUUCCACUGCUACAUGUGUCCCCGUCCUGAUUUGAAGGAAAAGAGAAUAACGCUGCAAGCAAAGCCUCUAAAAGUCAUUACCUCAUUAGCGAAUCAACGGUCUUAAAAUGGAAAAAUAGAAGAAGAGCACACUGAAAUGCCAACGAAUUGGGAUAAUUUAAUCGGAAAGGUACUUUUUUAAAGCUUGCGCAAUCCCGGAUAAAAAUACAUUCUCAGCCUCAGCGCAGAAUCAUAAAAAUCCGUUCUUACCGUGUAAUGGGGUGCGUUUACGCAUGAGGAUUCAAGCUUCGGAUCUUGUUAGUCAGUACAGAAAAAUUUGUGCUAGAAGAAAUCUCGGUUGGAAUUUAUAGGUGUUUUCAGUGAAAAUUAUCAAAAGUGUUUUGAGGUUUUAAUUAUAAAGAUAAAUUUAUGAAUUAUUAGUUGAGUUUGCCGGGUUAUAAUUUGAUGGUAAACUAUUCUUAGAAUUCACUACUACUAUUACUCAGAAUUUACAGAAUCUUAGUGGUCGUAACUUGGACACGAAAUCUCGGUGUCCCUCUACUAUCUCUGAUAUUCACCGGCUGUCAUUUAACAAUUAAAAUUAAGUGGAAAACGCGAGUGGUGAUGCGAGGCGAUUAUUCAAUUCAUUUUCUAACUAUCGAUUAUACUUUUCACUUAUUAAUUAGAAAUUAUAACGCAAGUUUGGAUUCUAAGCACGGGUGAUUAAUUUCCGAGCGAGCGAUUUUUGGAGUGGGAGGGAUAAUUGACCGCUGGGGGCCACUCCAUCGGUAAUUUUAAUCUCAAGAUUCUUGGAUGUCUCUGCCACCCUCUCAUGUAGGUAUUGACGGCAAAAGAUGCAAUAUUCCAAUAUAUGGCUCAAAGUGAAAACUAGAGAUUACUUUGGUAGUUACAGAAAACGAUAGAGCUUUCCUGGUUUUGUUCGUGGUAGGCUUGCUUAGAGCCUAAAGAUCAAAGCUUAUCAAAUUUUAAUCUCAAGAUUCUUGGAUGUCUCUGCCACCCUUUUAUGUAGGUAUUUACGGCAAAAGAUGCAAUAUUCCAAUAUGGCUCAUGAAUUUUUGAAAUGUUCCAUAAAUUUGUGGAGCGAACUUAAUAUUUGGCUGUGAAUAAGCGAUAAAUUGACCAGAUUUAUGGCGUAGUCAAAUUGUAAAAAAUUUCAGAUUGUAAAAAAUGUGUAAUUUAUAGCUUUUUUUAUGAAAUGUAAU